rnacentral:rRNA from 1 species
UACGGAGGGUGCAAGCGUUAUCCGGAUUCACUGGGUUUAAAGGGUGCGUAGGCGGGUUGGUAAGUCCGUGGUGAAAUCUCCAAGCUUAACUUGGAAACUGCCGUGGAUACUAUCAAUCUUGAAUAUCGUGGAGGUAAGCGGAAUAUGUCAUGUAGCGGUGAAAUGCUUAGAUAUGACAUAGAACACUAAUUGCGUAGGCAGCUUACUACACGAUCAUUGACGCUGAGGCACGAAAGCGUGGGGAGCAAACAGG